CAAUAACAGCAUCAUUACGAUGCUUGUCAGGUUGAUAACGGUAAACUGAAUCACUAAUACCAACGAUUCGACAAGCUCUACGGAGACUGAUGCAGUGAGAGUACUUCGCGUAAUCUACUAACUCUCGUCGAAUGGCUGGUUUU
rfam:Photobacterium aphoticum strain DSM 25995 contig0073, whole genome shotgun sequence.